GCAAAAGUAUCCCUGAAUGACAGCUAUCCCUAUUCUUGUAACACGUCUCAGAAAGCAGAUUAGUUUUAAGACCACUGAAAUGUAUAAACUAUGAAGAGGAGAAGAAGCGAUAUCUCCACUGGACUUCUUAUUUUCGACAUCUGGCUGUGGUCCACUGGGAGAAAUAUUAUGGAUGUGUUUGUGGAGGGUUCAGAGCAGUAUAAGAAGCUGAAAUAUCCCUGGGUGUAUGCAGCCCUGCUCAGCAACAACUCAA
rnacentral:lncRNA from 1 species